AGAGUUUGAUCCUGGCUCAGAAUGAACGCUGGCGGCGUGCUUCAACACAUGCAAGUCGAGCGAGAAAGUGACUUCGGUCAUGAGUACAGCGGCGAACGGGUGAGUAACGCGUGGACAACCUGCCUGGUAGCGGGGGAUAACUCGGGGAAACCUGGGCUAAUACCGCAUGAGCUUGCUGAACCUCGGUUCAGCUCGGAAAGGUGGCCUCUUCUUGAAAGCCAUCACUAUCAGAGGGGUCCGCGCCUGAUUAGCUUGUUGGUGAGGUAAUGGCUCACCAAGGCGACGAUCAGUAGCCGGCCUGAGAGGGUGAUCGGCCACACUGGAACUGAGACACGGUCCAGACUCCUACGGGAGGCAGCAGUGGGGAAUAUUGCGCAAUGGGGGAAACCCUGACGCAGCAACGCCGCGUGGAGGAUGAAGGCCUUCGGGUCGUAAACUCCUGUCAGGUGGGAAGAAAAAGCACGGGCGAAAUACCUGUGCCCUUGACGGUACCACCAGAGGAAGCCCCGGCUAACUCCGUGCCAGCAGCCGCGGUAAUACGGAGGGGGCAAGCGUUAUUCGGAAUUAUUGGGCGUAAAGGGCGCGCAGGCGGCUUGGCAAGUCAAAGGUGAAAUCCCUCGGCCCAACCGAGGAAUUGCCUUUGAAACUGCUUGGCUAGAGGCCGGGAGAGGGUAGUGGAAUUCCCAGUGUAGCGGUGAAAUGCGUAGAUAUUGGGAGGAACACCAGUGGCGAA
rnacentral:rRNA from 1 species